rnacentral:tRNA from 1 species
GCUUAAGUAUUUUAAUAAAAAUAUUGUUUUGUGGGAUCAAUGAUAUGGUUGGAUACCAUCUUAGGCU